ACGCUCGACACCUACGGGAGGCAGCAGUGGGGAAUAUUGCACAAUGGGGGAAACCCUGAUGCAGCGACGCCGCGUGGAGGAAGAAGGUCUUCGGAUUGUAAACUCCUGUUGUUGGGGAAAAAGAGGAUGGUACCCAACAAGGAAGUGACGGCUAACUACGUGCCAGCAGCCAACGGUAAUCUGAGGCGGGCUGGCAAGGC
rnacentral:rRNA from 1 species